UAUUCUGCCCUACAGGGAAGGAUGAGAAGCUUCGACUAAGGUUCGACUCGAGCGAAGCGAGAGAUCGUUGCCGCAGGCAACGGCCCGAAGGGCGAGGCGCUUUAGCGCCGAGUAAUCCUUCCCCCACCACCA
rnacentral:sRNA from 1 species